GAGAGCAGCCGCCCUUGGACCUCGGGUCCCCGGGUGAUGGUGGAUUCUUAACGCGCUCGUUGAGACCCUUUCUAUCAUCGUUUUGCUCCAAGUGCGCCUCUCCCAAAACGAAGUUGCCUGCUGGAAACUGGCGGCCUGAACAGGAGGAGGACGAGGUUCAUUAAAUCCCAGCUAAUGUUGGGGUCGGCUGCAGCUGGAGGGUCUGCUCAGCCCAGGGAGCCCCCGGGAACAGUGACAGAAAGGGGGAUGCAGGAGGUUGGCAAUUCUGCAUCUCUAGUAACACCCAGAGCCACUCUGAAUCGUGCAGUAGCCAAAUGAAUUCAGCUGAGCUUUGGGAAGAUGGAGACGUUGAGAGAUGGUGUCUCCAUAUAUGUAAAUAUGUCCAUACAUAUAUAUUCUGUGUGCAUAUGUGUUUGCUUUUACACAGCACCCACAGUCUGAGGAAAAAGCAAAAAUCAUCAGCAAAUGGUGCUGUAUCCUGCAGUGACUUCUGCAGACUUGCAUCCCGACUGGGAAGAGCUGCAUUUGAGCUAACGGGAAGAGAGAACACUGGGAGUGGCAGCACAGAAUGGGAAUGUUGUAAAAUGGGGAAAGCUUUUGAAAUGAGAUUAAGGAAAACCAGACGAAAGCUCACAUGGCUCAAAGAGAUACUAGAUUUGUUAGAACACUGCAGAAAAGAAGAGGAAAGCAAGGGGCGUGCUGCUUUCUCCCAUACAGCAAACUGAAGAAACACCUUCAACAGCACUUCCACCGGGCUCGGCUGCUUCUGAAACCUGAGUUCUUAAUGGCUGGAUAGCUCAGGUCAGAUGCUGAAAGGAUCUUAAAUAUCUUUUAUCACAGUUAAAACUCUGGCCUCUUCCCUCAUCUUCAUCCCUUGAGGUGUCUGAUUCACCAAAUCGCUUAUUUUUUAAACACGCACAGGUUUUUCCUUCACCACAGGCAGCAGCAUUGCCCCAUCAACCACUGAGUCCCAUGACACCGCUCCUGUGUGGUUUGGAAAGCUCAGUCCCGCUCCAUCAGAAGGGGAGAGAAAACAUAAAGAAGGAAAAUAAUUAAACAGUCUGCCCCAAAAUCAAACAAAUUCUUGGAAAGAGGCAGAGAUGCAGGUGACAUGAGCCAAAAUCCAAGGCAGUCCCAGCAUCACAUGAUGGGAAGUGAGAUUUAGGAAAGCAUGGAAGAGCCGACAGUAGGGAAGCCACCAGUAUGAACCGUCUCUGCAAAACAGUGGAACAGGAUCUAAAAUACCUUGACUAUGCUUUGGACAGAGGAAACUGUUCUGUAAUAACAAGAGAUUCAAAAGUUCACAGUUGAUUUCAGAGUGCUCCAGCCAUGCACAGGCCAGGGAUGUGCCCCAGUCCCAGGGACAGACCUCCCUGAACUGCAUUUUCCAUAUGAACUGUGGCUGUGCUGUUGUACACUGCAGAUUGUAUUUAGACAGCUACAAUCGUGGGCAAAACUGAGAGAAAUCUCCACAUUUAACAAGGGGCAGUGACCUUCACCAAGUGAUACCUCCUUCACUGGAGAUAAUCCUUCCUCCUGAGUCACACAGUAACCAUGGGGCUGAAGGACAGAUAUCUGGAUGUUUUCUCUCUCUAGAUGAUCUUAAGACCCUUUCCAACCCUAACUAUUCUCUAAUUCUUUUGCAAGGCCUCAGAGCCCCAUUGAGGGAAAACCCAGGUGCACCCUUCACAGGGCACAGACUAGAAGUAGCAUUCACAUUAACCCAGUGCCCCAGGGUUACACAGCACACCCACUGUUCCCACUCAUGGCAAAAUGAACAUCAGUUUGUAUUUAGCUGUUUGGUUUUGCAAAACUUAUCUCUUGUUACCUCCUUACCAAAUGGAAGUCUCUAUUGCAGCAAUGGCAAGUGAAGUAAGCAGGGCUCAGAACCAGACACCCAAAGCAAGCAAGGAUGGAUGCAUCUUCAUAAGGCAUCCAUUCAUUCCUAACUUUUGCAUCAAAUUAUAGACAGAGCAGAGCCACCGACCACAAAAACAUCACAUGUCACCAGUGUCAUGGAGAGUGUUUGUUGGCUUUCACGUGUAAGGUCCUCCUUAAAAUAAGCAUGAGAAAACUGUACUGGUUGUACAUGACUUAGCAUGCAGAUGCCUUGCAUAAUCAAUCAUUCCUCCUGACAUCCUGUAAGACUACAGGACUGUGGUUCAAAAUCCAAACUGUGAGAAAAUCCCAGAAAAUGCUCCCUAAACUCUUCUGCAAUACAGUUCCCAUGGAAUACCACCAGUCUUGUUUCCGCAUGCUUAAAAUGGCAACUGGACAGAAUACAUGUCAUAUGUAUGUUCAAUAUUAGAGAUCUUGUAAAAUGAAUUUCCUAUAAUCUAAACAUCACAUGAUCUUUAUAAAUAUGUUUUGCUAUAAUGAUCAAAUCAUCAAAACACAACUAGGGAGCAA